UCCUGGCUAGCUCAGCUGGUGAAGCGUUCCACUGGAAAUGGAGAGGUUCCUGGUUCGAUACCAGGACCAGGCA
rfam:Ixodes scapularis strain Wikel colony gcontig_1108379503632, whole genome shotgun sequence.